rnacentral:rRNA from 1 species
GAUGAACGCUGGCGGCGUGCCUAAUACAUGCAAGUCGAACGAGUUCUCGUUGAUGAUCGGUGCUUGCACCGAGAUUCAACAUAGAACGAGUGGCGGACGGGUGAGUAACACGUGGGUAACCUGCCCUUAAGUGGGGGAUAACAUUUGGAAACAGAUGCUAAUACCGCAUAGAUCCAAGAACCGCAUGGUUCUUGGCUGAAAGAUGGCGUAAGCUAUCGCUUUUGGAUGGACCCGCGGCGUAUUAGCUAGUUGGUGAGGUAAUGGCUCACCAAGGCGAUGAUACGUAGCCGAACUGAGAGGUUGAUCGGCCACAUUGGGACUGAGACACGGCCCAAACUCCUACGGGAGGCAGCAGUAGGGAAUCUUCCACAAUGGACGCAAGUCUGAUGGAGCAACGCCGCGUGAGUGAAGAAGGCUUUCGGGUCGUAAAACUCUGUUGUUGGAGAAGAAUGGUCGGCAGAGUAACUGUUGUCGGCGUGACGGUAUCCAACCAGAAAGCCACGGCUAACUACGUGCCAGCAGCCGCGGUAAUACGUAGGUGGCAAGCGUUAUCCGGAUUUAUUGGGCGUAGAGCGAGCGCAGGCGGUUUUUUAAGUCUGAUGUGAAAGCCCUCGGCUUAACCGAGGAAGCGCAUCGGAAACUGGGAAACUUGAGUGCAGAAGAGGACAGUGGAACUCCAUGUGUAGCGGUGAAAUGCGUAGAUAUAUGGAAGAACACCAGUGGCGAAGGCGGCUGUCUGGUCUGUAACUGACGCUGAGGCUCGAAAGCAUGGGUAGCGAACAGGAUUAGAUACCCUGGUAGUCCAUGCCGUAAACGAUGAAUGCUAGGUGUUGGAGGGUUUCCGCCCUUCAGUGCCGCAGCUAACGCAUUAAGCAUUCCGCCUGGGGAGUACGACCGCAAGGUUGAAACUCAAAGGAAUUGACGGGGGCCCGCACAAGCGGUGGAGCAUGUGGUUUAAUUCGAAGCAACGCGAAGAACCUUACCAGGUCUUGACAUCUUUUGAUCACCUGAGAGAUCAGGCUUCCCCUUCGGGGGCAAAAUGACAGGUGGUGCAUGGUUGUCGUCAGCUCGUGUCGUGAGAUGUUGGGUUAAGUCCCGCAACGAGCGCAACCCUUAUGACUAGUUGCCAGCAUUUAGUUGGGCACUCUAGUAAGACUGCCGGUGACAAACCGGAGGAAGGUGGGGAUGACGUCAAAUCAUCAUGCCCCUUAUGACCUGGGCUACACACGUGCUACAAUGGAUGGUACAACGAGUUGCGAGACCGCGAGGUCAAGCUAAUCUCUUAAAGCCAUUCUCAGUUCGGACUGUAGGCUGCAACUCGCCUACACGAAGUCGGAAUCGCUAGUAAUCGCGGAUCAGCACGCCGCGGUGAAUACGUUCCCGGGCCUUGUACACACCGCCCGUCACACCAUGAGAGUUUGUAACACCCGAAGCCGGUGGCGUAACCCUUUUAGGGAGCGAGCCGUCUAAGGUGGGACAAAUGACUAGGGUGAAG